rnacentral:rRNA from 1 species
GACUCAGCCGUCCUGUACACCACUCUGCCGUACAACUUCUGAGUAAAUUGAUCUGAAAAGACCUGGCGGCUUUUCUACGUCAGCCUAGAGGGGCCUGUCUAGUAAUCGAUAAUCCACGAAAAACCUAACCUCUUCUGGCCAAAUUCAGCCUGUAUACCGCCGUCGAAAGCUCAUUUUACAAAAAAUAGAAGCCAAAAAGUAUUACCACUAGCACGUCAGGUCAAGGUGUAGCAUAUGAAAAGGAUAAGAUUGGCCACAGUAAAAGACUCAUAACACAACAAUGAAACACUAAGUUAACAAGAAUUUAGCAGUAAGAAAGCCAAUGAAUGACUUCCUGAAACUAUUAACUGCACUAGAGUACGCACACACCGCCCGUCACCCUCUGACAUCAACACA